rfam:Triticum aestivum genome assembly, contig: Triticum_aestivum_CS42_TGACv1_scaffold_177174_2DS
CUUCUACUCCCUCCGUCCCAAAUUUCUUGUCUUAGAUUUCUCUAAAUACGGAUGUAUCAAGUCACGUUUUAGUAUUAGAUAUAUCCGUAUCUAGACGAAUCUAAGACAAGAAUUUUAGGACGGAGGGAGUACUUG